rnacentral:rRNA from 1 species
GAUGAACGCUGGCGGCGUGCCUAAUACAUGCAAGUCGAACGAACAGACGAGGAGCUUGCUCCUCUGACGUUUGCGGCGCACGGGUGUGUAACACGUGGAUACCCUCCCUAUAAUACUGGGAUAACUUCGGGAAACCGGAGCUAAUACCGUAUAACAUGCUGAACCACAUGGUUCAACAGUGAAAGACGGUCUUGCUGUCACUUAUAGAUGGAUACGCGCCGCAUUGGCUGGUUGGUACGGUAACGGCUUAGCAAGGGAACGAUGCGUAGCCGAGCUGAGAGGCGGAUAGCCCACCUGGGAACGGAGACACGCACCAUAGGACUACGGGAGGCAGCAGUAGCGAAUGUGCCGCAGCGGUCGGAAGCCUUACGCAGCAACGCGGCGUGAGUGAAGAAGGCCUUCGGAUCGUAAAAAUCGGUUAUGAGGGAAGAACAAAUUUGGAAGGAAAUAUACACGGCGUGACGGUACUGAGUCAGGAAGCCCCGGCUAACUACGUG